AUGCAACCUUCGGAGUCGCACAAGGAGGCAAAACUGGAGGUGCAGCACUACCAACCUGAGCUGCUGAGGGCAGCUCGGAUGGGCCUUCUGCACCAACUACGUGAUAUUCUGGGCAGUGACAAUACAACUAUCACACCGGUUGUGUUGGAGCCUGUAGUCAUGAUCGACAUUGAGAGGGUCGACAUCGACGUUGAAAGGGUGGACACCCUGGAGAUGGACUCGAUCCUCCAUGUCGUUGCGGCGAGCGGCGAUGAAGAGAACUUCUUGGAGUGCGCAAGCGUGAUUCACGAGAAGGCCAAGCACCUCCUGGACGCAGGCAAUAGCAAGGGUGAUACGCCCUUUCAUUGCGCUGCAAGAGCUGGCGGGGUGGAGAUGCUCUCUCGUCUCAUCCAUCUGGCAAGAGCCGACGGCGGGCAUGCAAGGGUGACGGAUGUGCUGAGAAAGCAGAACAAGAAAGGCGAGACGGCCCUUCAUGAGGCCCUCCGCUUGGCCAACAAGAAAACUAUGAAGGAAAUGGUUAAAAAGUUAAUGGAGGUGGAUCCAGAAUUGGCUUGCAUUCCGCAUUGCGACGCUACAUCGCCCUUGUACCUGGCCGUCUCACUAGGACAUGAUGAUAUUGCAGUCUUUUUGCAUUCGGAGAACGAGAAGCUGUCCUACUCUGGACCAUAUGGACAAAACGUCUUGCAUGUCGCCGUGCUUAGGGGCAAAGAGAUUACAAAGAAGUUACUGGACUGGAACAAGGCCCUCACCAAACAAGCGGACCAAUUGACUGGAAGUACGCCUCUUCAUAUUGCCAUAUCAUGGGGGAGUCAAAGCAAGGAGGUGAUCAAACUACUACUGCACUGUGACGAAUCUGCAGCAUUUCAAAGCGACAAUAGUGGGUCGUUCCCUAUACAUGUGGCAGCAACGCGAAGUUCAUGGUCUACACUUCCCGUGUUGCUGGACACGGUGCCCACAUGCGCAGGACUGCGUGAUGGUAAUGGCCAGACCUUCCUACAUGUUGGUAUUGCGAAGGAGCACCCUCUUGUGGUCGGAAGUUGGUACCAUCACAUACCAUUUGCACCAAUUAUGAACGUGCAAGACAAUCAUGGGAACAGUCCACUCCAUCUUGCUGCCAUAGUCGGGAACCAGUGGAUUUUCUAUCUUCUAAUUCAGAACCCGCAAGUUCAGCUGGAUUUAGUGAACAACAUAGGCCAAACACCGCUAGAUAUUGCAUGGACGAAGAUGCCACAAGGCCUUAAUUUCAUGCUGAACCCACGAAAUAGGAUAUACCUACUACUUAAAGGUGCAGGAGCUAAAACUGCUGCAUACCGCUGUGAUUGGUUCCUCAAAGAACAUAUCCCGCCAAUAGAAAUUAAAGUGGAAGAAAAGAAGAUCUCAGAUUCCACGCAGAUUAUUGGCAUUGGGUCAGUGCUAAUUGUUACGGUAGCUUUCGCAGCAGCUUUCACCUUGCCAGGCGGCUUCCGAACAGACGACUUGAAGGGUAAGCGUGGAACAGCUGGAAUAGCUAUGCUUGCCGGAAAACCAGUCUUUCACGCGUUCAUCAUCGCCAACACACUGGCGCUCGUUUCCUCAGCUCUAGCUACCAUGAACGUCAUGUACGCUGGGGUGACCGCAGUCGACAUACGCACGCGCAUGACCUCCUUCAUCAUCUCCAUCGUCUUUGUCUACUGCUCGGCCAAGUCCUUGGCUGCCGCAUUUGUGUUUGGACUCUACGUGGUACUAGAGCCGGCUGCCCCCAAAAUAGCUUAUAUUUCAUGUGCUAUCGUAUCUCCUUUCCUUUUUCUCGAUGUUGUCUGGUUUAUCUUCAUGGUAGCUAUUGGGGAAGUAAUGCUACUCAAAAGGCUAGGUUUCAAGGCAUGGCUUCGCAAUUUCAACUUCUCUCGACUACCAGUAAAACAACCUACAGUUUUGGGAUAG
rnacentral:rRNA from 1 species